CGUUAUCGGAUUAUUGGGCGUAAGAGCUCGUAGGCGGUUUGUCGCGUCUGCCGUGAAAGUCCGGGGCUCAACUCCGGAUCUGCGGUGGGUACGGGCAGACUAGAGUGAUGUAGGGGAGACUGGAAUUCCUGGUGUAGCGGUGAAAUGCGCAGAUAUCAGGAGGAACACCGAUGGCGAAGGCAGGUCUCUGGGCAUUAACUGACGCUGAGGAGCGAAAGCAUGGGGAGCGAACAGGAUUAGAUACCCUGGUAGUCCAUGCCGUAAACGUUGGGCACUAGGUGUGGGGGACAUUCCACGUUUUCCGCGCCGUAGCUAACGCAUUAAGUGCCCCGCCUGGGGAGUACGGCCGCAAGGCUAAAACUCAAAGGAAUUGACGGGGGCCCGCACAAGCGGCGGAGCAUGCGGAUUAAUUCGAUGCAACGCGAAGAACCUUACCAAGGCUUGACAUGGACCGGACCGCCGCAGAAAUGUGGUUUCCCCUUUGGGGCCGGUUCACAGGUGGUGCAUGGUUGUCGUCAGCUCGUGUCGUGAGAUGUUGGGUUAAGUCCCGCAACGAGCGCAACCCUCGUUCUAUGUUGCCAGCGCGUGAUGGCGGGGACUCAUAGGAGACUGCCGGGGUCAACUCGGAGGAAGGUGGGGACGACGUCAAAUCAUCAUGCCCCUUAUGUCUUGGGCUUCACGCAUGCUACAAUGGCCGGUACAAAGGGUUGCGAUACUGUGAGGUGGGAGCUAAUCCCAAAAAGCCCGGUCUCAGUUCGGAUUGGGGGUCUGCACUCCACCCCAUGAAGUC
rnacentral:rRNA from 1 species